rnacentral:rRNA from 1 species
GAUGAACGCUGGCGGCGUGCCUAAUACAUGCAAGUCGAGCGAACGGACGAGAAGCUUGCUUCUCUGAUGUUAGCGGCGGACGGGGGAGUAACACGUGGAUAACCUACCUAUAAGACUGGGAUAACUUCGGGAAACCGGAGCUAAUACCGGAUAAUAUUUUGAACCGCAUGGUUCAAAAGUGAAAGACGGUCUUGCUGUCACUUAUAGAUGGAUCCGCGCUGCAUUAGCUAGUUGGUAAGGUAACGGCUUACCAAGGCAACGAUGCAUAGCCGACCUGAGAGGGUGAUCGGCCACACUGGAACUGAGACACGGUCCAGACUCCUACGGGAGGCAGCAGUAGGGAAUCUUCCGCAAUGGGCGAAAGCCUGACGGAGCAACGCCGCGUGAGUGAUGAAGGUCUUCGGAUCGUAAAACUCUGUUAUUAGGGAGGAACAUAUGUGUAAGUAACUGUGCACAUCUUGACGGUACCUAAUCAGAAAGCCACGGCUAACUACGUG